rnacentral:rRNA from 1 species
ACGGCUCAGUAACACGUGGACAACCUAACCUAUGGUGGGGGAUAACCCCGGGAGACUGGGGAUAAUACCCCAUAGACUAUGGAAGCUGGAAUGCUCUGUAGCCGAAAGGUCAGCCGCCGUAGGAUGGGUCUGCGGCCGAUUAGGUAGUUGUUGGGGUAACGGCCCAACAAGCCUGUAAUCGGUACGGGUUGUGGGAGCAAGAGCCCGGAGAUGGAUUCUGAGACACGAAUCCAGGCCCUACGGGGCGCAGCAGGCGCGAAAACUUUACAAUGCGGGAAACCGUGAUAAGGGAACUCCGAGUGCCCGUUAAAUCGGGCUGUCCACCAGUUUAAAUAACUGGUAAAGAAAGGGCCGGGCAAGACCGGUGCCAGCCGCCGCGGUAAUACCGGCGGCUCGAGUGGUGGCCACUAUUACUGGGCUUAAAGCGUUCGUAGCUGGUUUGUUAAGUCUCUGGGGAAAUCUUCCGGCUUAACCGGAAGGCGUCUCAGGGAUACUGGCAGACUAGGGACCGGAAGAGGUGAGGGGUACUCCAGGGGUAGGAGUGAAAUCCUGUAAUCCUUGGGGGACCACCUGUGGCGAAGGCGCCUCACCAGGACGGCUCCGACAGUGAGGGACGAAAGCUGGGGGGGCAAACCGGAUUAGAUACCCGGGUAGUCCCAGCCGUAAACGAUGUGCGUUAGGUGUAUCGGUGACCACGAGUCACCGAGGUGCCGAAGAGAAAUCGUGAAACGUACCGCCU